AGUGAACGCUGGCGGUAGGCCUAACACAUGCAAGUCGAACGGCAGCACAGUAAGAGCUUGCUCUUACGGGUGGCGAGUGGCGGACGGGUGAGGAAUACAUCGGAAUCUACUUUUUCGUGGGGGAUAACGUAGGGAAACUUACGCUAAUACCGCAUACGACCUACGGGUGAAAGCAGGGGAUCUUCGGGCCUUGCGCGAUUGAAUGAGCCGAUGUCGGAUUAGCUAGUUGGCGGGGUAAAGGCCCACCAAGGCGACGAUCCGUAGCUGGUCUGAGAGGAUGAUCAGCCAAACUGGAACUUAGACACGGUCCAGACUCCUACGGGAGGCAGCAGUGGGGAAUAUUGGACAAUGGGCGCAAGCCUGAUCCAGCCAUACCGCGUGGGUGAAGAAGGCCUUCGGGUUGUAAAGCCCUUUUGUUGGGGAAGAAAAGCAGGAGGUUAAUACCCCGCUGUUCUGACGGUACCCAAAGAAUAAGUACCGGCUAACUUCGUG
rnacentral:rRNA from 1 species